GUUGGUUUCAUCAGACCAGAGGAUCUUGUUUCUCAUGGUCUGAGAGUCCUUUAGGUGCCUUUGGCAAACUCCAAGUGACCUGUCAUAUGCCUUUUACUGAGGAGUGGCUUUUGUCUGGCCACUCUACCAUAAAGACCUGAUUGGUGGAGUGCUGCAGAGAUGGUUGUCCUUCUGGAAGGUUCUCCCAUCUCCACAGAGGAACUCUGGAGCUCUGUCAGAGUGACCAUCAGGUUCUUGGCCACCUCCCUGACCAAGGCCCUUCUCCCCUGAUUGCAUAGUUUGGCAAGGUGACCAGGUCUAGAAACAGUCUUGGUGGUUCCAAACGUCUUCCAUUUAACCCUGCUAUUACGCCAUUUCCACUUCUGAGUUAUCUAAAAUGCUAGUUAACCUCUCUUCUUCUCCAUGAAAUUAAAUAACUUUUCCUCAUUUAGGGUCAUGAACCUAAAUUCAAAACGUGGACACACUGAUGUGUUGUGGAAUGUCUGUGUAGAUUUUGUAUACAAACAUGAUGUUGUGGGUCAUUCUGACCCGGAGGCUUUCAUGUGUGUAGGUAUUUGCACAGGUCCAAAAUAAACAAGUGUCUUUGAUGUAUAUAGUUUUGACUGGUUCUGGUUGCAUUUUUAUAAUUCUGUUUGGGUGAAAAGGAGUUUCCUCAAGCUUCUCUUUCUCAGUGUGAGAGCAGCAGAUCUCUGACACAGACACUCAUAAUGAGCUCCAAAAUAUUUUCAGUAUAUAUGAAGCCUUGUUCUGGAGCAGGUUUUCAUCAAGGAUCUUCUGGACUGUGACAGUGAAAUAGAAGAAGAGGUAUCGGAGACAGAGGAUAUUUCAGAGAUAGAGGACAAUGCUGAUGAUGAAUAGUUCUUUGGUGAAGAGGAUACAGAGGAGUCGACCAUACCAGAGAGUAUACAACAACCAUCACCCAGAUAGAAAGGACAAUGCUGAUGAUGAAUAGUUCUUUGGUGAAGAGGAUACAGAGGAGUCGACCAUACCAGAGAGCAUACAACAACCAUCACCCAGAGAUAGAAAGGACAAUGCAGUCUAAAGGUGGUAAUAUAGAAUGGUCACCAUCACCACAACAAAGUCAAGGUAGACUGUCAGCUUUCAAUGUACUCAAAAUGGUUCCAGGGCCUACAUGACCUUCUCUGCCCCCCUCGCCAAGACAGUAAAACCAGCACCACUUGUGUAGAAUGCAAUAAAUACAUCUGCAGAAAGAACACACGUACAUUGUGUUCAACUUGUGGAGGGAAAGACUGAAGGGAUCAUUUUGACCAAUAGGAUCAACUCACACCUAAGUCUGACUGUUACUAGGAAAUACAAGAGAAAUGCCUACUUGGGGAAACAGAAAAUGCUUGUUUGUGAGAAGGAAAUAUGUUUAACAAAUAGUUCUAUAAAUAUAGAGUUUUUUAAAUCAUAUGUUUUUGUAUUUCAUCUUUCUGAAAUGUUGACAAGACAAAAUAAAGUUUUGGCUGUUUCUAAUUGAUUCUUUGACUGUGUUGAGUGUUUAAACGGUGCGGGUCAAUCUGACACAUACCACAAUGGACAUCAUUUUUUCCCAGCAAAGCACAAGGGUUAUGAAUGAUGGCCACUGUGUUCUUGGGGAUUUUCAAUGCUGCAGAACAUUUUUGGUACCUUUCCCCAGAUUUGUGCCUCGACACAAUCCUGUCUCGGAGCUCUACGGACAAAUCCUUCAACCUCAUGGCUUGGUUUUUGCUCUGACUUGCACAAUCAGCUGUGGGACCUUAAAUAGCAAGGUGUGA
ensembl:lncRNA